GCUUUCAUAGUGUAGUGGUCAACAUACUCGACGCGUAUUCGAGAGGUCCGUGGUUCGAGUCCUGGCGAAGGCG
rfam:Stegodyphus mimosarum contig108581, whole genome shotgun sequence.